rnacentral:rRNA from 1 species
UCGCCUGUUUUAACAAAAACAUCGCCUCUUGACAAACCCAUAAGAGGUCCAGCCUGCCCAGUGACUCUGUUAAACGGCCGCGGUAUCCUAACCGUGCGAAGGUAGCGUAAUCACUUGUUCUUUAAUUGAGGACUAGUAUGAACGGCACCACGAAGGUUAUACUGUCUCCUCUCUCUAAUCAGUGAAACUAAUUUCCCCGUGAAGAAGCAGGGAUAAAUUUAUAAGACGAGAAGACCCUAUGGAGCUUUAAACAUAACAACAACUGCCCCGCUCCAAUUUAUAUUUCCCGAAAAAUUAUUUACCCGAGCAUUCUGAUUGUGCGUUUUAGGUUGGGGUGAUCGCGGAGCAAAAAAUAACCUCCACACUGGAAGGGACCUUCCCUAAGCCCCGGGCCACAACCCCAAGAAUCAACAAAUUGACACCCGUUGACCCAAUAUUUUGACCAAUGAACCAAGUUACCCUAGGGAUAACAGCGCAAUCCACUUUAAGAGCUCCUAUCGACAAGUGGGUUUACGACCUCGAUGUUGGAUCAGGGUUUCCUAGUGGUGUAGCCGCUGCUGAAGGCUCGUUUGUUCAACGAUUAAAACCCUACGUGAUCUGAGUUUCAGACCGGA